UACGGGGGGAGCAAGCGUUACUCGGAAUUACUGGGCGUAAAGCGUGCGUAGGUGGUUUGUUAAGUCUGAUGUGAAAGCCCUGGGCUCAACCUGGGAACUGCAUUGGAAACUGGCUGACUAGAGUGCGGUAGAGGGGUGUGGAAUUCCCGGUGUAGCAGUGAAAUGCGUAGAUAUCGGGAGGAACAUCUGUGGCGAAGGCGACACCCUGGACCAGCACUGACACUGAGGCACGAAAGCGUGGGGAGCAAACGGG
rnacentral:rRNA from 1 species